ensembl:lncRNA
AUGGAGUGUGAGCCAGGAGUUCCUGGUGUAAAACAGGAGCCUUCAGGGAGCCCAUACAGGGAGCUGGGAGCAGAGGGAGGUGCUGAGGGUAUGGAGGAAGGCCUCCUCAAAGGAGUAGAGGAGACGGACGAGGGAAAGAAGAGGAAGAGGAAACCCUACAGACCAGGGAUUGGUGGCUUCAUGGUGCGUCAGAGAAAGUGUCACACACGGAUGAAGAAGGGUCUGUUCCCCCAUCUGUCUCAUCUGGCUGGAGACGGAACUGUUACGACAGCCAGACCGACAAGAGAGAAGCCUGCCCUAGAGGAAGGCAAGUUACAGUUACAGGAGCCAUCUAAGUCAGAACAUUUCAGUGUUUGAUCACUAUCUGUUAGAGGUCAAAUUCUAAUUUCUUCAAGGAAUAUGAUAAACCUUUGACGACCACUGUGGAAAUAAGUGUUUUCAUUCAUGUGUUUUAAUGUGUCAUCCUCCGGGAUUUAAAUGUUUAUCGUGUGGAUGUAUGAUUUAUUUGUAAUUAAUGUUCCCUCUAAGCUGAGCGCGGUAGCCCUGAGACUGCCACUCAGAAAUAUCAGCCCACAGAGAGAAGCAUGAGAUUCAACUUCACUCAACUUUCUAGAGCAGUGGUCACCAACCGGUCAAUUCCAGCCGACUGGUCGAUCUCCAAGGCAUUCCUAGUUGAUCUCCAAAUAUUUCUGUUAAAAAAGCAACGAUAAAGCCAUGUUGUUAUUUUUUGUUUUAUUCGUCUGUCUGGCAGUAGGUGCACCUGAUUCAGCUGCCCUGCACACCAGUUCAGCCAACGGUUACCAUUUCAUGUGUCUGAAGGUACAAACUCUGCCUUCCUGGUGGGCGCAGAUAUCAAAUCAGGUGCACUAUAGGCCUAACGCUGGCCAAUCAGAUGUCUCAGAUGACCGUGUCUUCAGUAACUUAGCAGGCAUUAAGAAAAAGCUACCGCAAAGUUGAUACUUGUGAGAUUUCUAAAUGUUUAAAACAAGACUAGAGAGAGACUGUCAACGAAUACAGUAAAGAGCUGCUGUUUUUAUGAGUGACUUCAUGUUUAAGUUCUUACUCAGCACUAUCAACACUUUGUAUUCAACACUUUUAUAAGACAUAAAAUGUGUGUUCUUCCUAUUUCCACACAGCGCUACAACAAGCACUGCAGCAGUAAUGAAUGAGUAGGAAAGACUAUCUUUAGACUAGUGUUGAUGUUAUUAUUACCGGCUUGGGUCUUUUUUAAUAUCGAGGAAUAAUAUGUAUCUGUUCAUAGGAGUAACAACAUGAAUUUGUGCAAGAGGCAGAAAUAAUGCGUUGCGACUCGAGUUUGGCCAUCAGCUGGAAGACCGUCACUUUUUGGUCAGUGGAGGAAAUGGAGACUGGAGGGAUGUUGACAGGUGGACCCUCGGUCUGCUGCUCUCUCCCUCCACUGAGACUGAACAUCAGAUACAGGCACCAUCAGCCCAGUAAAAUAAAAAGCAAAUUAUUUAAAUGUAUACUAACUCAGCUGUGCCUCACAAGUAAUACAACAACGGGUCUAUUACCGGCGUGAUCAUAUAGACUACCUUAAAUGUAGAAAUAUAAUUUAUAAAACAUUCCUGAACAGCAAUGUAUUGGCAGGGUAAUUCAAGCAAAGCCAAUAUAUGGUGAUAAUGUAUUGGGCCUAUAGCUUACUGCACAAACCUAAUUUCUACAGUACUGUUUUUAAUUGGUUAAUGUUGCAUAGGCUUACAUUUUGUGAUCUUGACUCAAAAAAUGUUGGUGACCACUGUUCUAGAGUUUUCACUGUUAACACUAUCAACGUUUCUCUUUACUGAGGCAAUUGUGACACGCAAUAUUAGCCACUUUCAAUACAACAUACCAAAAUACAACGAACUAUGCAAGUAGGAUUCUAUCUCAUUGACCCGCACUACUCAGCCCGUACUCUAAACAGACCCGUGUGGGAUAAACAAUCAGAGCUGCAGUUGACCUAUAUGCAAAUAGUCCAUUGCCAUAUAUGGAUUUGUGCCAUUUAUUUUGAACUGGACUAUGUUUACAGCAUGAGCGGUUGUGAGUAGAUGUCUUGUUUUGAGAUCAAAGUGAUACUGCAUGUAGCCACGUGUGCACAUUUUGUUCAUAUCCUUUGCUAUUUAGUUAGUCAUUAGCCGAGUUAUAGAUCAUUUGUAGUCAGCAAUAGGAGUGAUUUGUUUCCUACAAGAGCACAAAACGUGUACAUCUUUGAAAAGCAAGUUAGGUAAAGAUAAAAAAAUUUGGUCUUCAAGGGGAAGUGUUGUAUUUUGAGACGGGCUUGAAUAAGUAGCCAAUACGCCGAGGGUAGCAUAAUUGGUCUGAUUCUCUGUGGUAUUGGAAUAAUAAUUCAUUUUAUUUUGUAAAGUGGUUUCUUGAAUCAAACCACACAUUUUCAGUCACCUCCUUUUAAUUUUAAUGUUUAUAUACCUUUAUGUAACUAGGCAAGUCAGUUCAGAACAAAUUCUUAUUUUCAAUGACGGCCUAGGAACAGUGGGUUAACUGCCUUGUUCAGGGGCAGAACGUCUGAUUUUUACCUUGUCAGCUCCGAGAUUCGAUCUUGCAACCUUUCGGUUACAGGUCCAACGCUCUAACUGCUAGGCUACCUGCCGCUCCGUCUUUGUCUGAAGGACAAGUGGAUUAACAGGUUAAUGUCAAGCCCUGCAUGUUUGUUUUUUUUGGCUGCUGCUGUAGGCUGAAUGAUAGAACAGAUAUUUCCAUGUUAAAAUGUGAUGGGAUGCAUUUUCUCCAUGUUGUUGAUGGUAGGCCACUCUGGUAGUCCCACACUACUUGGCCACUGUUAAAACUGUAACUUAAAGUAGGUACAGCCUUAACAUUCACAGUAAAUGCGCACUGAAAGUUGCACAUAAUUUUCACAAUGUUCAAAUUUCUGCACAGCAAACCAGAAAUUUGCUCGGUGCCAAAACAAAUUGUAUGAAACAUUGUUUCUAACCCAAAAUAAAAUUGAAUAAGAUUCAGUUCAAAAUUGUCAUUUUGAACAUCUGAAAUGACACCGGGUUGUGUUUGUUGACAGGGCCUCACCCAGACACACCUACAGAUGGCGCCCCGGAGACUAAGCCAGCCGAGGGAGAAGGGGAGCAGGCCAAGAAACGACGAGGCAGGAAGAAGAGCAAACUAGAGGACAUGUUCCCAGCUUACCUGCAGGUACCUUCUCGCUCACCACUUCUCACCAUGGGCUAUUCUAAGGCAUUCAUAUGGCAACCUAAAGGACCGG